UACGGGGGGGGCAAGCGUUUGUUCGGAAUUACUGGGCGUAAAGCGCGUGUAGGCUGUUCUGCAAGUCGGGUGUGAAAGCCCCGGGCUCAACCUGGGAAGUGCACUCGAAACUGCAGAACUCGAGUCCUGGAGAGGAAGGCGGAAUUCUCGGUGUAGAGGUGAAAUUCGUAGAUAUCGAGAGGAACACCGGUGGCGAAGGCGGCCUCUGGACAGUGACUGACGCUGAGACGCGAAAGCGUGGGGAGCAAACAGG
rnacentral:rRNA from 1 species